ACUAAAGCGUUGACGAGAAGAGUACUAUGUUACGGUUCUACAGAGAGAAGCAUAUAUGGUGGAAGUGCUUUAGAAUACGGAUAUGGGAAAACCACCUCCGAGCGGCCCUAAUACGGCACGGUGAUUCCGUUAUAAUCAUAAUGAGAUGUUCUCCUGAUUGAGAGAAUAAUAAGGGUGGAACCGCGGAUUGAAUAUUCGCCCCUUAU
rnacentral:ncRNA from 1 species